GACGAACGCUGGCGGCGUGCUUAACACAUGCAAGUCGAACGGAAAGGCCCUGCUUUUGUGGGGUGCUCGAGUGGCGAACGGGUGAGUAACACGUGAGUAACCUGCCCUUGACUUUGGGAUAACUUCAGGAAACUGGGGCUAAUACCGGAUAGGAGCUCCUGCUGCAUGGUGGGGGUUGGAAAGUUUCGGCGGUUGGGGAUGGACUCGCGGCUUAUCAGCUUGUUGGUGGGGUAGUGGCUUACCAAGGCUUUGACGGGUAGCCGGCCUGAGAGGGUGACCGGCCACAUUGGGACUGAGAGACGGCCCAGACUCCUACGGGAGGCAGCAGUGGGGAAUAUUGCACAAUGGGCGGAAGCCUGAUGCAGCAACGCCGCGUGCGGGAUGACGGCCUUCGGGUUGUAAACCGCUUUCGCCUGUGACGAAGCGGGAGUGACGGUAAUGGGUAAAGAAGCACCGGCUAACUACGUG
rnacentral:rRNA from 1 species